rnacentral:lncRNA from 1 species
GUAGCCAUUCGACUCUCUUAAUCCAAUAAGACUGGCGCCCCGAGAGCAAUGCUCGACCAGGGACCUUACCUCCAGUCUGGUCACUUAAAUAUCCAAAUAAGAAAUCUAGUAGCCAUUCGGCUCUCUUAAUCCAAUAAGACUGGCGCCCCGAGAGCAUUGCUCGACCAGGAACCUUACCUCCAGUCUGGUCACUUAAAUAUCCAAAUAAGAAAUCUAGUAGCCAUUCGGCUCUCUUAAUCCAAUAAGACUGGCGCCCCGAGAGCAAUGCUCGACCAGGGACCUUACCUCCAGUCUGG